UCAUUUCUGUCCAUAUAAUGGUUUCUGUUUGCUUGGUGACAUACUUGUGCUACGUGAUCUUUUUCGUAAAUGUUGGUAUUGGUCAGCUCACGCAACCUAGGGGAGAGAGGGAAGAAUUUGAUGAAGGAAACAAUUACAUCAUCUACAUCCACAUCAGAAAAAACACAACAAAAAGUUUAUUUUAGUUUCAUCAGCCGGAUUGGCGCGUCGGCCCCCUCCCCCUACAAACCUACUGAAAGUGGAUUGCACUUGGCGCGGUAGCUCACAACUGUCGCACCAGCCGGCGUGGCGCGGUAGCCCCCCACCCGCCAAAAACUUAUUGAAAGUUGUAUGCAGUUGCUGCCGCGCUAGCCUGGCUAGCGCGCCACAGGCUGCUGCGCCAGCUGGCCUGGCGCGGCAGCCCUGCUCCACCUGCUGAAAACCUACUAAAAGUUAUAUGCAGUUGGCGCGGUAGCAUAAUACUACCGCGCCAGUCUGGAUGGCGUGCCAAAGGCUGCCGCGCCAUAGUCCUGCCGUGCCACCUGGCCUGGUGCUGCAGCCCCCCCACCCGCCGAAAACCUACUGAAAGUUCUAUGCAAUUAGCAUGGCAGCAUAGUCCUGCCACGCCAACCGGCUGGUGCGGCAGCCCUCCUCCACCCGCAGAAACCUACUAAAAGUUCUAUGCAAUUGGCAUGGCAGCAUAGCCCUACCGCGCCACCUGGCCUGGCGCGGCAGCUGUGCACUCAAGAUGUUAGGCAAAGGAUUUAUAGGAGAGUUUAUAGGAGACUAACUUAAGAGUAAAUACCUCCUCACAAGCUGUUAGGCAAAGGGUUUAUAGGAGAUGUUAGUGAACAAAGAAAUACCUCACUUCAAUUUACAAAAAUCAGUUGCUUAUGUAUAAAUUAUAAACUUUCAAAGUUAGUCGUUGAUUAAGGAAGAAAAUAAGGACUGCCUUGUGGUAUGGAACGAAAUAGCCCUUGUAAUAGUAUAUGCAAGGAACAUACUAUCAAAAUGCAAACAUUGACUGCGACCACGCACGCACACUCAAUGCAAAUAACAUAUUACAUGUUUUUUCAACAAAUAAUCAUAAUUCUCACAACAAACGUAGUUCUCUCACAAAUGAACAUAGUUUUUCACUGAUAAUUGUAGUUGUCACAAUAAACAUAAUUGUCUCACAAUAAACAUAGUUGUGUCAUAAAUGAACAUAGUUUUGAUAACUAAACAGAAACAUGAUCCAACUCAUUCAACACGUUCAUCUAGUCGGAGUCACCUUUACAUAGUAACUCAUCAUCAUCAUCAUCCCCGCAAUAACAACUCUCUUCCCUUUCUUAUGCACAUUAACCUUACCAACAGGUAAAUCGGCAACAAGUGCCUUCAUCGCCUCCAUUUGUGCCUCUUCUACUUUUUCUUGUAACUCUUCCAUUUCAAUCCUUCUCUUCCUUUCCCUAACCUGCUACAAAUAUUCUUCCUAUGAACCCUUAGGGUAUUUCGCAUUCGGAUCAACCACAAAACCUAAGCGAUUUCUCUCCUCCCUCAACCUUUGUUUCUCCAACUCCCUCUCCUCCUGCAACUUCCUCCUAUUUUCUCUCUUCUCAUUUUUAGUUAGAGGUCGUGGAUACUUGGUUCUAUUCUACCUCCAAUACUUAAUAAUAGUUUUCUUCGCAUAAAGUCCUUCAGGCUCCACUUCAGUCUCCUUAACCAUAUCUUGGUAUAUUUUCCCCCAAAGCAAGUUACUGUCAGGUAUAGGCACAUCAUACUCCUUCCUAAUCUUUUCUAUUAGUUCUUAUUCUUUUCUUGAAUUCCAUGGUUCUGAUGUACUACCCAACUUUAACAAUAAAUCGCAAGGACUAGAAAAAUCUUCCUAAUCACAUGUCCUUCCCUCCUGCAACAAGAUUUUCAUAUUCGUACAAAUUUGAAACAAGAUCCAAC
rnacentral:lncRNA from 1 species